UCAGCCCCUACCUCAUCCUCGGUGUAGGCAAGGAUGCCAGCCAUGGGCCCCUUGGCUGCUGCUUUUACAGCCUCCUUGAUGGCUGAGUAGGGGGCAGGCUGGGCGAGGCGGCAGGUCAGGUCCACGACAGACACAUCCGGGGUUGGUACCCGGAACGCCAUCCCUGUCAGCUUCCUGGAGAAUCCCCCAUGAGGAACAGGAGUCAGAACUUAGGGACGUUGCCCUCCAUUCCCCCUUUCCCUGUGGCUGGGCCAGGCCCCUGCUUUCCUCUUAAGGACUGAGGGCCGGGCCAGUCCAGUCCUCCUGGCGUAUGCCCCCACCCUGGUUGCAGCUUCUUGUCCUCAUACCCUUUGAGCUCUGGGAUGACUUUGGUCACAGCUUUCGCAGCCCCAGUGGAGGCUGGGAUGAUGUUCUGGUGGGCACCCCGCCCAUCUCGCCAGGCCUUCCUUGAUGGCCCGUCCACUGUCUUCUGGGUGGCCGUGUAGGAAUGGACUGUGGUCUUGGGGAAGAGAAGGACCAAGAUGAGGCCUUCAUGCUCCUAAGCUCCCAUGCCUCUUUUUUCCAGGACUAAGUUGGUGGCCUAGGUGUGGAGGCUGGUGGGGCCACCACCACAGACCACAGGAGGGGAUGUGUGCAGGCCAGGGUCCAGCCUUGCCUGAGGGUUGCACAGUGUUUUAAGUGACUUCUGCACUGGUGGGCCUCUCCUCCCGAAACCAGUCUCUCCCUCUUAACUCCAUACAGUAAGCAAGGCCCGGGAAGAAGUUGGGUUUCCCUGCCAUCCUUCCUGCCCCAGCCCCUCAUCCUCAACUCACCAUCAACCCUUCCACGAUCCCAAAUCGCUCGUGGAUGACUUUGGCGAGGGGAGCCAAACAGUUGGUGGUGCAGGACGCGUUGCUGAAACAGCCAAGGUGUGCACGGACACUGUGAGGAUGUCACUGCCCACAUUACCUCACAAUGUUCAUGGAGCCAGGGUUAUAGUCAUUUUCAUUGACACCCAUGACGAACAUUGGUGCAUCCGGUGAGGGCGCGGAGAUGACCACACGUUGAGCACCUGCAGAGAUGUGGUCCUGGGGAGGAAGCGCAGGUGUCAGGGGCUUCUGGCACCAUCAUCCCCCCAGCUAGCCCUGGGCACCUCUCCCCAGCUUACCGAAGCUGCCUGUAUGGAGAGGUGGUGACCUCCCCAACUCAGCCCUCAACCUCCUCAGAGGCGCCAAUGCUGACUGCUGUCAGCCAGCCCAGACCCUUUCUCCAUAUGCUGCCCGGGACGUGGACUCUGUGACUGUGAGGCCUGCCCGGCUGCUUUCUGCUUCCCAGCUCUGACAACCUCGCCAUGAACCCUCCUAGACCCUCAGCUCCUGCAAUAGGAAGCUGGCUGCCAAAGGCCAGGAGGGUCCCUGAAAACAGACACUGCAUUAAAGAAAAAGCUCCUGGAGGACUCCUGAAGCCUGAGGCAGCCUUGGGGCAGCAGUGGCUCAUGGUUUACAUUGGAAAGGUUUAUCAUGAGUAACCGGGUGCUUUGCUUCUGUGAUUCUUGGCCAGUGUCGGUCUGUUUCCUUUGCCAUUGAGCCUGCUCCCCUCAAUGGGGGGUUCAAUCAAUGUUUGUGGGGUUUGUUUGUUUUGAGACAGGGUCUUCCUCUGUCGCCCAGGCUGGAGUGCAGUGGUGCAAUCAGAGCUCACUGCAGCCUUGAUCUUCCUGGCUCCGGCCAUCCUCCUGCCUUGGCCUCCCGAGUAGCUGGGACUACAGGCGCACACCACCAUGCCAAGCUAAUUUUUAAAUUUUUUUGUAGAGAUGGGGUCUCACUUUUGUUGCCCAGGGUGCUUUAGAACCCCUGGGCUCAAGUGAUCCUUGACCUCCCACAGUGCUGGGAUUACAGGUGUGAGCCACCGUGCCUGGCCUCAUGGGUUUUCUUUGUUUUGUUUUGUUUUGUUUUUGAGACAGAGUCUCACUCUGUCACUCAGGCUGGAGUGCAGUGGCACGAUUUUGGCUCACUGCAACCUCCACCUUCCGGGUUCAAGCGAUUCUCCUGCCUCCGCCUCCCGAGUAGUUGGGGUUACAGGCAUGCGCUACCACACCUGGCUAGUUUUUUAUUGUUGUUGUUUUUUGUAUUUUUAGUGGUGACGGGGUUUGCUCUGUUGGCCAGGCUGGUCUCAAACUCCUGACCUCAGGUGAUCCCCACUUCAGCCUCCCAAAGUGCUGGGAUGACAGGCAUGAGCCUCUGCACCUGGCCUCGUGUUUUUUUUUUAGUUAGCCAUUUUAUACGUGUUUACUGAACACCUGUCCUGUGCCCAUAUUCUAAGUGCCUUACCUGCAUUAAACUCAUGUAACCUUCACAAC
rnacentral:lncRNA from 1 species